rnacentral:rRNA from 1 species
AUUGAACGCUGGCGGCAGGCCUAACACAUGCAAGUCGAACGGUAACAGAAAGCAGCUUGCUGCUUUGCUGACGAGUGGCGGACGGGUGAGUAAUGUCUGGGAAACUGCCCGAUGGAGGGGGAUAACUACUGGAAACGGUAGCUAAUACCGCAUAACGUCGCAAGACCAAAGAGGGGGACCUUCGGGCCUCUUGCCAUCGGAUGUGCCCAGAUGGGAUUAGCUAGUAGGUGGGGUAACGGCUCACCUAGGCGACGAUCCCUAGCUGGUCUGAGAGGAUGACCAGCCACACUGGAACUGAGACACGGUCCAGACUCCUACGGGAGGCAGCAGUGGGGAAUAUUGCACAAUGGGCGCAAGCCUGAUGCAGCCAUGCCGCGUGUAUGAAGAAGGCUUUCGGGUUGUAAAGUACUUUCAGCGGGGAGGAAGGGAGUAAAGUUAAUACCUUUGCUCAUUGACGUACCCGCAGAAGAGCACCGCA